GGCGGCGGACGGGUGAGUAACGCGUGGGUAACCUGCCUCAUACAGGGGGAUAACAGUUGGAAACGGCUGCUAAUACCGCAUAAGCGCACAGUACCGCAUGGUACGGUGUGAAAAACUCCGGUGGUAUGAGAUGGACCCGCGUCUGAUUAGGUAGUUGGUGGGGUAACGGCCUACCAAGCCGACGAUCAGUAGCCGACCUGAGAGGGUGACCGGCCACAUUGGGACUGAGACACGGCCCAA
rnacentral:rRNA from 1 species